UCGAUGGGCCACACGAGCGCCCCCCAAGGAAAAAAAAAAAAACUUUCAUUUUUCGUUUUGCGUGAGAAACCCUUGCUGAAGCCGCCCUCUGUUCGCGUUCAAACCUAGCGCCGUCAUCGAAGCUGCAACGCGCGUCCAUCCAGCCGAGUCGCCUGAAUUGCGCUGCUCGAGGACCAUGCAGUCGGUCGCCUGGAGCCACCGCAAGCGCUCGUUCGUCGUUGACUCCAGUGCCGUCGUUGUGCGUUCGCGUCGCUUGGUCGUUCAUCUGAGUGGCUUGUCCGUGGGCUUCACGCCGCGCCGACGACCCUCUCCAGCCACGCCGUCGUCAUUUCGCCAUUCACCCAACCAGUCAUCCACGUUCGUGGAUUCGUUCAGACGCCACCGCCAGCUUCGACGUUGGAUUUUUUUCGUCGGAUCUCCCGGAACCUUGGUUUUGAGGGAGGAUUUGUUUAUUAUGGUCCAAUUAAUCAAGAUCAACAUAGAGAUGGUGAAGAAAUGACUGAGAAAGGCUUUGUAAAUCCUCGAUGCUUGGUAAGUUUCUGCUUGAUACUCGAUGAGUUUCUGUUCUUUGAUUCGAUGGAACACAAUGGGUGUUGAUCGAUACUCGACUCUACUCAAUGAGUAUUAAUCUUUACUCGAAGAUGAAAACUUCUGACUCAAUGCUACUCGAUGGAAGAAAAUCGAUAUUCGAUUCAACUCGAUACUCUGAAAUCGAAAUGAUUUUAUAACAAGAUUGUGUCUUUGUGAUUUGCAAAAAGAUUGAUGUCGAUCAAAAGAAAAGAUAAAGAGAAGAAGAACAAACAGAGGAUUAUGUCGUUCGACCAAUAAGCCUACGUCCACGGGAAAAUCCAUUUUUCUUUUUCACUUGAAGAUUACCUAUAGCUUGCUUUGUUUAAAACAAAAAAAAAAGAAAGUAUGGAAAAUAUGUGGUAUUUAUAAAACAUACCAACAACCGAUAUAAAGUUAGUUAUAAACUAAACUAGUUGAAUAGUAUUUGAGUCAUGAUUUCUUCAACUAGACAUUUGACCAAUUUAAGUUUUGAAACUAGCUUUGUCAA